UGGGGAAUCUUGGACAAUGGGGGCAACCCUGAUCCAGCCAUGCCGCGUGAGUGAUGAAGGCCUUAGGGUCGUAAAGCUCUUUCGCCUGUGAAGAUAAUGACGGUAGCAGGUAAAGAAACCCCGGCUAACUCCGUGCCAGCAGCCGCGGUAAUACGGAGGGGGUUAGCGUUGUUCGGAAUUACUGGGCGUAAAGCGCACGUAGGCGGACCAGAAAGUUGGGGGUGAAAUCCCGGGGGCUCAACCCCGGAACUGCCUCCAAAACUAUUGGUCUAGAGUUCGAGAGAGGUGAGUGGAAUUCCAAGUGUAGAGGUGAAAUUCGUAGAUAUUUGGAGGAACACCAGUGGCGAAGGCGGCUCACUGGCUCGAUACUGACGCUGAGGUGCGAAAGUGUGGGGAGCAAACAGGAUUAGAUACCCUGGGUAGUCCACACCGUAAAACGAUGAAUGCCAGUCGUCGGGUAGCAUGCUAUUCGGUGACACACCUAACGGAUUAAGCAUUCCGCCUGGGGAGUACGGUCGCAAGAUUAAAACUCAAAUGAAUU
rnacentral:rRNA from 1 species